rnacentral:rRNA from 1 species
AUUGAACGCUGGCGGCAGGCCUAACACAUGCAAGUCGAACGAGUGGCGGACGGGUGAGUAAUGUCUGGGAAACUGCCUGAUGGAGGGGGAUAACUACUGGAAACGGUAGCUAAUACCGCAUACAAUCAGAUGUGCCCAGAUGGGAUCAGCUUGUUGGGGGGGUAACGGCUCACCAAGGCGACGAUCCCUAGAUGGUCUGAGAGGAUGACCUGCCACACUGGAACUGAGACACGGUCCAGACUCCUACGGGAGGCAGCGUUGGGGAUUAUUGCACAAUGGUCGCAAGCCUGAUGCAGCCAUGCCGCGUGUAUGAUGAAGGCUUUCGGGUUGUAAAGUACUUUCAGCGUGGAGGCGUUACCCGCAGAAGAAGCACCGGCUAACUCCGUGCCAGCAGCCGCGGUAAUUC